GACGAACGCUGGCGGCGUGCCUAAUACAUGCAAGUAGAACGCUCAAGAGAGGAGCUUGCUCUUCUUGGAUGAGUUGCGAACGGGUGAGUAACGCGUAGGUAACCUGCCUUGUAGCGGGGGAUAACUAUUGGAAACGAUAGCUAAUACCGCAUAACAAUGGAUGACACAUGUCAUUUAUUUGAAAGGGGCAAUUGCUCCACUACAAGAUGGACCUGCGUUGUAUUAGCUAGUAGGUGAGGUAACGGCUCACCUAGGCGACGAUACAUAGCCGACCUGAGAGGGUGAUCGGCCGCACUGGGACGGAGACACGGCACAGACGCCUACGGGAGGCAGCAGUAGGGAAUCUUCGGCAAUGGGGGGAACCCUGAGCGAGCAACGCCGCGUGAGUGAAGAAGGUUGUCGGAUCGGAAAGCUCGGUUGUAAGUCAAGAACGAGUGUGAGAGUGGAAAGUUCACACUGUGACGGUAGCUGACCAGAAAGGGACGGCUAACUACGUG
rnacentral:rRNA from 1 species